UGCUUGCUUCGGCCGCAAUAUACUAAAAAUGGAACGAUACAGAGUAGAUUAGCAUGGCCCUUGCACAAGGAUGACACACGAAUUUAUGAAGUGUUCCAUAUUUUA
rnacentral:snRNA from 1 species